AACGAACGCUGGCGGCGCGCCUAAUACAUGCAAGUCGAGCGAGAAGACGUGGCAAUACGUUUGUAAAGCGGCGAACGGGUGAGGAAUACAUGGGUAACCUACCCUCGAGUGGGGAAUAACUAGCCGAAAGGUUAGCUAAUACCGCGUACGCUCCUUGGACUUCGGUUCAGGGAGGAAAGCGAUACCGUGGGUAUCGCGCUCUUGGAUGGGCUCAUGUCCUAUCAGCUUGUUGGUGAGGUAACGGCUCACCAAGGCUUCGACGGGUAGCUGGUCUGAGAGGACAAUCAGCCACACUGGCACUGCGACACGGGCCAGACUCCUACGGGAGGCAGCAGUAAGGAAUAUUGCGCAAUGGGCGAAAGCCUGACGCAGCGACGCCGCGGUGGGGGAGUGAAGGGUC
rnacentral:rRNA from 1 species